ACAGCCUGUUCCACGAUGUCGAAAGAACACGUUCGCACAACUUUUACACGACAAACAGCUGAUUUCCGUUCCACUAAAAUCCAUCAGAACGAAAAUUUGCACGAAAAUCAAAGCGAACGAAAACGUAAGCGUUUCAGUGUAAUUUUGCGUUCCACUAUCUUUUUUCUUUCGUACGCAUGCGAACACAAAUGUCAAAAUCAGUCACUUGUGUGUUUGCUGUCGAAUGAUAAAAAUUAAGGAAAAUUGUUUUAACAUAAACAUUCCUUGAUUGAAAAUGGAAAGAAAAAUCACGAAAAAACUACACAGCUGCGGGCACUAGUUGAGUAUAUGGGGGAGAAUCCUAAGUUCGGCAGAGGAGUGCCAAUUUUUGGAAGCAGCAGGCAAUCCCAUGAAGACCACUGGAAGACACAAACCUAGAAAAAAUCAUUUUUUUAUUAUUUCAAAAAUGUAAAAAUACAAUCAUACUUACUGGUUGUUAGGUACUUCAAAUAAAUUCGAAGCAUCUCUUAAAUGCCUCCGUGGCACAAUUUGAACCUCCUCCUCAUCAUCCAUAAAAAAUAGGGCUACAGAAAUAUACAUUUUUUUCUUUUUUAAGAACACAAAUAAUCUGAACACAA